CGCCUGUUUUACAAAAACAUCUUUUCUUGUUAGUUUUUGAAGUAUGGCCUGCCCACUGACGUUUACAGAGGUUGAAGGGCCGCGGUAUUUUGACCGUGCAAAGGUAGCAUAAUCAUUAGUUCUUUAAUUGUGAUCUGGUAUGAAUGGCUUGACGAGACAUGAGCUGUCUUAAAGGUAUUUCUUUAUUGAAUUUAGUUUUUGAGUUAAAAUUCUUAAAUGUUUUUAUGGGACGAGAAGACCCUAUAGAGUUUGACACCUUCUUCUUCUUUUUUAUUGUGUUUGUUUAUUUUUAUAAGUUGAUUAGGUGUUUUGUUGGGGUGAUGGGAGGAAUAAAUUUUAACUCCUCUUUGAUUUUUUAUAUUUAUUUAUAUUUAUUUGAUCCAUUUAUUUUGAUUAUAAGAUUAAAUUACUUUAGGGAUAACA
rnacentral:rRNA from 1 species